AAUAAAUGAAAAAAAUAAAAAGAGAUUAAAUGUUAUAUCAUUAAAUUUAAAAGAUUUGGCGGUAUUUAAAAUUUAGAGGAAUCUGUAUAGUAAUUGAUAUUCCACGAUAAGAUUUACUUAAUAUAAAGCUUAUGUAUUGCUGUUUUUAGUAUCUAAUUAAGUUAGAUUAAAUAUAAUUUAUAAUUUAUAUUGUGUAAAAUAAUUCAAGUCAAAAUAUAGUUUUAUUAAGAUUAGUAUGGAUUACAAUUAAUUUGAUUAUUUGGAGUAAAGAAUUUAAUUUUUUUAUGAAAUAGGAUUUAAAAGUAAAUUUAAUGAAUUUAUUAAGUUGAAUAAUAGAUUAAAUAUGU
rnacentral:rRNA from 1 species